AGGGCACCACCAGGAGUGGAGCCUGCGGCUUAAUUUGACUCAACACGGGAAAACUCACCCGGCCCGGACACUGGAAGGAUUGACAGAUUGAGAGCUCUUUCUUGAUUCAGUGGGUGGUGGUGCAUGGCCGUUCUUAGUUGGUGGAGCGAUUUGUCUGGUUAAUUCCGAUAACGAACGAGACUCUAGCCUACUAAAUAGAUCGUCGGCUUACAAACGCUGAUGAGACUUCUUAGAGGGACAGGCGGCGAUUCAGCCGCACGAAACAGAGCAAUAACAGGUCUGUGAUGCCCUUAGAUGUCCGGGGCCGCACGCGCGCUACACUGAAGUGAUCAGCGUGCAUUUUCAGCCUACUCUGCCAAGAGUGGGAAACCCAAUGAACCUUCUUCGUGAUUGGGAUAGGAGAUUGUAAUUAUUCUCCUUGAACGAGGAAUUCCCAGUAAGCGCGAGUCAUAAGCUCGCGUUGAUUACGUCCCUGCCCUUUGUACACACCGCCCGUCGCUACUACCGAUUGAAUGUUUU
rnacentral:rRNA from 1 species